rnacentral:sRNA from 1 species
ACCAUACGGGCGCGCCGUAUAGUGCCAU